UACGCAAAAAAGGAAUAAAAAACCCAAAGCUCCUUCCCCACUCUCUCGAUAGAGACUCAAAACCAAAACGCAAAGCUCCUCCCUCUCUCGACAGUCGACAGCGUUUCCCCAAAACUAAACCCUCGCUCUCCCAAAUCCUCACUCUUUCCCUCAGCUUUCUAGGGUUUCAAUUUUCAAAUCCCCACCAUACUCUGUCUGGAUCCCCAAAUUUCAAAUCCUUAAUUUUCAAUUUUCAAAUCCCCCAGAUCUGGCUGAAGGUUUUGGUUUGGGCUUGGAGAAAAGAAGUGCAGUAAUGCUUGGAGAGCCAACAUAAACACGAAGGACAUCCAAGACUUGUUCGAGCAGUCAACCAAUGAUGCUCUCUCCGGCGGCAGUCUCUUUCCGAUCCAUUACCACCUUUAGUGACUUGAUUAGGGUUUCAGGUUUCGCUUCUUUCUCACUAAUCGAUCCAAUUUCUAACGCGUUUGCUGCCUUACGAUUGCGAGAAGCGAGUUUGCGAACUCAAAAUCGGAAACAAAGCCUUUCAGGUCACUAUUUCGAUAUUUCUGAUUUCGUUUCUAGUUUCAAUUGGCUAGGGUCACCACCCAAAUUCGCCUUCCUCUCUCUGUCAGAAAACCAAAACAAAAGAUGGGACUGGGAUAGCAGUGGCAAAUUCCGUGGCUGGAAGAAGUGAAAUAUUCUGUGGUCCAAAAUACCCAUACAAGAUCGUUCCAAGAUUUUUCAAAAUCCAGAAACACCUGCCCGAGGGUCACAAUGACAACUCGAAUUGCUCCGGGAGUCGGAGCGAACUUGCUCGGUCAACAUUCCGCCUAGAGAAACUAGGGCACCAUUGCUAACGUCGGCAAUCUCGACCCUCAGGUUAGUGAAGAAUUGUUGUGGGAGCUGUUUGUUCAAACCGGUCCUGUUGUUAAUAUCUAUGUUCCCAAAGAUAGAAUUACGAACCUUCAUCAAGGACACGGAUUCGUGAAGUUCCGAAGUGAAGAUGAUGCUGAUUACAUAGGCAAUCAAGGUGCUUAAUAUGAUCAAGCUUUACGGAAAGGCAAUUCGUGUAAAUGAGGUAUGUAAUUCUGUUUUCCCUAGCUUCAGAAUCUUCUAGUUGUCUAGAUCACAUGUUUCAGAUUUUGAUGGUUAUGAAAUUCUUUACAAGCAUAAGCACAAUUUUUUUGGGCAAUUGUAAACUUAUAAUAUGAGUAGUGAUUCUGAUAUAUAACUUCUGGUCAAGGAAGAAAAAGACUUGCUCAGUUGACUGCUUCAUCAUUGAACUAUAAUGGUUUUAUUCUUUAACAAAGAAGGCUAGCCUCUAGCCCUUAUCUUAUGCACUAGUCUAUUCUUCACUGGCUAAGCAAGGUAAGUGUAGCUGGUCCCAAUAAAAAAAAAAGUAUUCAAUUCCUAGCAGGCCCCAAAUUAGGGACUGGAAUUGGGUAUUGGCUUUAGAUUUGAUUCAUUUUCUCUGGUUAGGUAUUUCGAUUCACUUUGCCUGAGGUUGGCACCUACUUAUUUAAGGUCUGCAAUCUCUAUAUAUAAUGAGGUUUUUUAUUAAAUGAAUCUUGUCUCAACUAUCAUUUUUGUCUUCCUCCCCUCACAUUCUUUCUUUACAAAAAUGUUACAAAUGAGCACUUAAUGAUUGAUGUUUAAGUUAAUUUUUCAUUUUUCAAGUGCAAGUAACUCUAUGGUGGCAUGCUCACAUCUUUUGGCUAAGAGCCACUAUCUAUGGAGCUAUUGUCAUUCUGCCCAAACAAGGGACUGGCUUUCCUUUUCCUCAGCCUUACAGCGAAACUAAUCUUAUCUUAGGUGAGUUUGAGUUUUGAACUUCUUGUUAGCUAUUAAUCUCUCAUAGGUGCCUUGCACCUUUUUCUUGUAUACUAGUAGAUAAAUGCCAAUACAGCUAAUUGCACAAAUGUUCUUGUUGGGAGUGCGGGAAGCAAGGAAAAGGGAGAAUUGGAAAACCUAUCUUUAAAAAGCACAUUUCUGGCCAAGUUUGUCGUGGUGGUUUUGUUCUAAAAACAAUGAUCCAAGUUUGAAGGCUGCUUAUAAACUGGACAAUCAUGUGGAAGAUGGAGCAGCGAUGAAAGCUUUUGAAGUGAUAGAGAGAAAUUUGUUGAGCUAGAAGUUGUACUGAGGCUAGAAGUUGGUCUUUUUUGGGUUGGCCUUAAUUGCAGUUCUCCUAUAGAUGUGAUUAUGUGACAUUUUUAGGUACAUUUGUAGAUGUAUUUUGCUAUAAGAGUUUCAAAUAUGUGAUCCCUUAUUUUGUGGAUACAAUUAGCAUUAUUGGAUCCAUUUAGAUUGUUAUGGGAUUAUAACAGCUUUCUAUUAUGAUUAAAUUACUAUUCUUUUGGUCA